rnacentral:rRNA from 1 species
UACGGGGGGGGCAAGCGUUGUUCGGAAUCACUGGGCGUAAAGCGCACGUAGGCGGACUCUUAAGUCGGUGGUGAAAUCCUGGAGCUCAACUCCAGAACUGCCUUCGAUACUGAGAGUCUCGAGUCCGGGAGAGGUGAGUGGAACUGCGAGUGUAGAGGUGAAAUUCGUAGAUAUUCGCAAGAACACCAGUGGCGAAGGCGGCUCACUGGCCCGGUACUGACGCUGAGGUGCGAAAGCGUGGGGAGCAAACAGG